AGUGAACGCUGGCGGUAGGCCUAACACAUGCAAGUCGAACGGCAGCACAGUAAGAGCUUGCUCUUACGGGUGGCGAGUGGCGGACGGGUGAGGAAUACAUCGGAAUCUACUUUUUCGUGGGGGAUAACGUAGGGAAACUUACGCUAAUACCGCAUACGACCUACGGGUGAAAGCAGGGGAUCUUCGGACCUUGCGCGAUUGAAUGAGCCGAUGUCGGAUUAGCUAGUUGGCGGGGUAAAGGCCCACCAAGGCGACGAUCCGUAGCUGGUCUGAGAGGAUGAUCAGCCACACUGGAACUGAGACACGGUCCAGACCCCUACGGGAGGCAGCAGUGGGGAAUUUUGGAAAAGGGGCGAAAGCCUGAUCCAGCCAAACCGCGUGGGUGAAGAAGGCCUUCGGGUUGUAAAGCCCUUUUGUUGGGAAAAAAAAGCAGCAGGUUAAUACCCCGCUGUUCUGACGGUACCCAAAGAAUAAGCAGCGGCUAACUUCGU
rnacentral:rRNA from 1 species